UACGUAGGGGGCAAGCGUUGUCCGGAAUCAUUGGGCGUAAAGCGCGUGUAGGCGGUCCGAUAAGUCGGAUGUGAAAGCCCCGGGCUCAACCUGGGAAUGGCAUUCGAGACUGUGCAGCUAGGAUGCGGAAGAGGGAAGCGGAAUUUCCGGUGUAGCGGUGAAAUGCGUAGAUAUCGGAAGGAACACCAGUGGCGAAAGCGGCUUCCUGGUCCAGCAUCGACGUUCAGGCACGAAAGCGUGGGGAGCAAACAGG
rnacentral:rRNA from 1 species